GCCCUUUCAUUUUCUUAACUGUAUAUUCUGAAAAGCAAGUUUAUGCUUUCGGACCUUUAUUCUUUCAGAAUUGAGGUAUCGGUCUAUGCCCCACUUGGAGUUAACUUGCUGUGUAUGACAUGAGACAAGAACAGUUAAUUAUCUGUAAAGAAAUUUGAAAGCAAGAAAAAAUUUAUAUCACCUCACAUGUUUACUGUCCCCAUCAUUCUUCAUUAUUGUGUACGGACCCAAGUUUCCAUCCGGACCCUCUUCCUUCUGCUUGAAGAACUUCCUUCAA